GGGCAGGUAGAUCAGCUGGAAGAUCGCUACCUUGGCAUGGUAGAGGCCUCGGGUUCAAAUCCCGACCUGUCCAUCA
rnacentral:tRNA from 1 species